rnacentral:tRNA from 1 species
GCUACCGUGGCUCAGCUGGUAGAGCAGCUCACUCGUAAUGAGCAGGUCGUCCGUUCGAAUCGGAUCGGUAGCUCCA